CCCCACUGCUAUCGGGAUGGGACUAAGACAUGCUAGUCGAGCGUCUCCAAGCUAUGGAAGAGACGCGGCACACAGCUCAGUAACACGUGGCUAACCUGCCCUUGGGACAAGGACAACUCCGGGAAACUGGGGCUAAUCCCUGAUAAGUGAGAACUCCUGGAAUGGAUUCUCGCUCAAAGGACGUUUAGACCAUGCUUCUAGGCGUCGCCCAAGGAGGGGGCCGCGACCGAUCAGGUUGUUGGUGAGGUAACGGCUCACCAAGCCUUUAACCGGUACGGGCCGUGAGAGCGGAAGCCCGGAGAUGGGCACUGAGACAAGGGCCCAGGCCCUACGGGGCGCAGCAGUCGCGAAAACUCCGCAAUACACGAAAGUGUGACGGGGCCAUCCCGAGUGCCAUCCGCUGAGGAUGGCUUUUCCCCAGUGUAUAAAGCUGGGGGAAUAAGGAGAGGGCAAGCCUGGUGUCAGCCGCCGCGGUAAUACCAGCUCUCCGAGUGGUGGGGAUGUUUAUUGGGCCUAAAGCAUUCGUAGCCUGCCUGGCAAGUCCUCCGUUAAAUCCAACGAUUCAAUCGUUGGGCUGCGGGGGAUACUGUCCGGCUAGGGGGCGGGAGAGGCCGACGGUAUCCUCGGGGUAGGGGUGAAAUCCUAUAAUCCCGGGAGGACCACCAGUGGCGAAGGCUGUCGGCUAGAACGCGCUCGACGGUGAGGGAUGAAAGCUGGGGGAGCGAACCGGAUUAGAUACCCGGGUAGUCCCAGCUGUAAACGAUGCAGGCUAGGUGUUGGCGCGGCUACGUGCCGCUCCAGUGCCGCAGGGAAGCCGUUAAGCCUGCCGCCUGGGAAGUACGGCCGCAAGGCUGAAACUUAAAGGAAUUGGCGGGGGAGCACCACAAGGUGUGAAGCUUGCGGUUU
rnacentral:rRNA from 1 species